rnacentral:rRNA from 1 species
CCUACGGGUGGCAGCAGUGGGGAAUAUUGCACAAUGGGGGAAACCCUGAUGCAGCAACGCCGCGUGAAUGAAGACGGUUUUCGGAUUGUAAACUUCUGUUCUUAGUGAAGAAUAAUUACGGUAUCUAAGGAUCAAUCCACGGCUAACUACGUGCCAGCAGCCGCGGUAAUCCGUAUGUGGCCAGCGUUGUCCGGAAUUACUGGGUGUAAAGGGAUUGCAGGCGGGGAGCCAAGUCAGCUGUGAAAACUACGGGCUUAACUUGUAGACUGCAGUUGAUACUGGUUUUCUUGAGUGAAGUAGAGGUUGGCAGAAUUCCGAGUGUAGCGGUGAAAUGCGUAGAUAUUCGGAGGAAUACCGGUGGCGAAGGCGGCCAACUGGGAUUUAACUGACGCUGAGGUUCGAAAGUGUGGGGAGCAAACAGGAUUAGAUACCCGGGUAGUC